AGUUUGAUCCUGGCUCAGGAUGAACGCUAGCUACAGGCUUAACACAUGCAAGUCGAGGGGCAGCAUGGUCUUAGCUUGCUAAGGCCGAUGGCGACCGGCGCACGGGUGAGUAACACGUAUCCAACCUGCCGUCUACUCUUGGACAGCCUUCUGAAAGGAAGAUUAAUACAAGAUGGCAUCAUGAGUCCGCAUGUUCACAUGAUUAAAGGUAUUCCGGUAGACGAUGGGGAUGCGUUCCAUUAGAUAGUAGGCGGGGUAACGGCCCACCUAGUCUUCGAUGGAUAGGGGUUCUGAGAGGAAGGUCCCCCACAUUGGAACUGAGACACGGUCCAAACUCCUACGGGAGGCAGCAGUGAGGAAUAUUGGUCAAUGGGCGAGAGCCUGAACCAGCCAAGUAGCGUGAAGGAUGACUGCCCUAUGGGUUGUAAACUUCUUUUAUAAAGGAAUAAAGUCGGGUAUGGAUGCCCGUUUGCAUGUACUUUAUGAAUAAGGAUCGGCUAACUCCGUGCCAGCAGCCGCGGUAAUACGGAGGAUCCGAGCGUUAUCCGGAUUUAUUGGGUUUAAAGGGAGCGUAGAUGGAUAUUUAAGUCAGUUGUGAAAGUUUGCGGCUCAACCGUAAAAUUGCAGUUGAUACUGGAUAUCUUGAGUGCAGUUGAGGCAGGCGGAAUUCGUGGUGUAGCGGUGAAAUGCUUAGAUAUCACGAAGAACUCCGAUUGCGAAGGCAGCCUGCUAAGCUGCAACUGACAUUGAGGCUCGAAAGUGUGGGUAUCAAACAGGAUUAGAUACCCUGGUAGUCCACACGGUAAACGAUGAAUACUCGCUGUUUGCGAUAUACAGCAAGCGGCCAAGCGAAAGCGUUAAGUAUUCCACCUGGGGAGUACGCCGGCAACGGUGAAACUCAAAGGAAUUGACGGGGGCCCGCACAAGCGGAGGAACAUGUGGUUUAAUUCGAUGAUACGCGAGGAACCUUACCCGGGCUUAAAUUGCAGAUGAAUUACGGUGAAAGCCGUAAGCCGCAAGGCAUCUGUGAAGGUGCUGCAUGGUUGUCGUCAGCUCGUGCCGUGAGGUGUCGGCUUAAGUGCCAUAACGAGCGCAACCCUUGUUGUCAGUUACUAACAGGUUUUGCUGAGGACUCUGACAAGACUGCCAUCGUAAGAUGUGAGGAAGGUGGA
rnacentral:rRNA from 1 species